rnacentral:rRNA from 1 species
UACGUAGGGUGCGAGCGUUGUCCGGAUUUAUUGGGCGUAAAGGGCUCGUAGGCGGCGUGUCGCGUCGGGAGUGAAAGCCCGUUGCUUAACGGCGGGUUGGCUUUCGGUACGGGCAGUGCUGGAGUGCGGCAGGGGAGACUGGAAUUCCUGGUGUAGCGGUGGAAUGCGCAGAUAUCAGGAGGAACACCGGUGGCGAAGGCGGGUCUCUGGGUAGUAACUGACGCUGAGGAACGAAAGCGUGGGUAGCGAACAGG